rnacentral:rRNA from 1 species
CCUACGGGAGGCAGCAGUGGGGAAUAUUGCUCAAUGGGGGAAACCCUGAAGCAGCAACGCCGCGUGGGGGAUGAAGGUUUUCGGAUUGUAAACUCCUUUUGUUAGAGAAGAAAAUGACGGUAUCUAACGAACAAGCACCGGCUAACUCCGAGCCAGCAGCCGCGGCAAUACGGAGGGUGCAAGCGUUAUUCGGAAUCACUGGGCGUAAAGAGCGCGUAGGCGGGAUAGCAAGUCAGAUGUGAAAUCCUAUGGCUUAACCAUAGAACUGCAUUUGAAACUGUGAUUCUUGAGUAUGGGAGAGGUAGGUGGAAUGCUUGGUGUAGGGGUGAAAUGCGUAGAGAUCAAGAGGAAUACUGAUUGCGAAGGCGGCCUGCUAGAACAUAACUGACGCUGAUGCGCGAAAGCGUGGGGAGCAAACAGGAUUAGAUACCCUAGUAGUC